GAUGUAAGUAGGGAUCGUUCUAGACCGGGGAUUAGGAGGGAUUGCUAAACACUUGGAAACUGACUUAAAAACUCUAAAACAAGGUUUAAAACACUAAACUAGACUCAAAGAAUGCAAAACUAAACUUUAAAACACUUAAACAAACCUAAAACUCAAAACAGCAACCUAAUGACUCAAAACUGCCUAAAAACCAUUUUCUGGGCAGUUUUGAGAACCUAACAAGAACUUGGACGAAAUUGGGUGAAAACUUGAAUCAAAACACUUAGAAACACAAAUCAAAACACUUUCUAACUAAUCUAAGACUUCAAAAGAAAGGGGGAUUUGUUUUGGACGAAAAUUGAAAACAAAACAGAGACUUAAAACUAAACAGAUUGUAAAACGUUUUUGGAUGAAAAGGAUGGAUAAAAGGCUAGUUAGGAGGUUCUUCUCCACACAUGUCACACUUGCACACAAAACGAUUUUCAGUUGUUCUUCCAAUAAAUUAUAAAUACUCAAUGCCCCAAAUUAACCGUGAAUUGCACUAAUUAACCCUCAGUUUUUCCAUAAGUUAUCAAGUUGGAUGAUUGCAUACGACAACCCAAAACAUUCCCUACAAGUUCCCUACAUGAAUUGCAUAAUAGAGAUACAAGCAAGAAUCAUUAAGUUCUAUGAAAAACAUAAGCAUUGACGAAGCAUUCGUUACUAUGAAUUGCAUGAAACUUAUGCUAAGAAUUCAUUCAACGCGAUCGUUUUCAAGCGACCUUCACUACUUGUGAUUAUAAGAUUGUAACUAUUAGGUGAAACUCUCUCAUAAUCUAGCAUCAUAUUCAUGCAUGAAAACUAAGCGUGCACUCUCAAUCAACAUACACAAUUAAGUUAUCAAUCAAGUAGAUGAACGAAUUGAAUUCACAACUUAUGAAAUAACAACUGAAUGAAAUCGAAUCAAAUUGCAAGCAAGUACAUGGUUUCGAAUUACCCCCCAACUAAGGGGGUUUAGUUCCUCAUACUCACAACAUAACGUUUAUUGAAUUGAAACAUCGAAGACAUAAGAAAGAUUACACCUAAAACGCCCAAGAAUUCCACUUUGAAUUUCUGCACGUCAAGCUCCUCUUCUUCUUCUCCUUGCUGCUGCAGAGAUGGUUAAGGGGACUUUUGGAUGUGAUUUUGGUUUAGGAAGGGAAUUAGGAUGGUAUGGUGGUGCGGCAAGAGGUGUGGAUGGUGUAUGGAGAUGGAGAAUGGUGGCUGGAGUAGAGGGAUGGCUGCGGCAAGGUGUAUGGGUGUGGCUGGAAUGGAUGAAGGCUGCGGCAAGGUGUGGGAAUAGGGUUUAGACGAUUUCUGAUUUGUAGAGUGGGAGAGCUUCGGCCAAAGGAGUAAAACACAUAUAUAUAGGCACCUAAAACCCUAAUGAAAUCAGAUUGAAACAAUGGGCUAGGGUUAAGGUUUGUAAAAUAGGGCUUCUAGGAUGGAAAGGUGCGGCAUGGGCUUAGGGUAAAUAAUCAGAUUUUUUUGCAUAUGAACAAGGCCUAGGUGCGGCUGAUUAAGUGGCUAGGGUUAGGGUUUAGGUGC
rnacentral:lncRNA from 1 species